UGGGGAAUAUUGCACAAUGGGCGCAAGCCUGAUGCAGCCAUGCCGCGUGUGUGAAGAAGGCCUUCGGGUUGUAAAGCACUUUCAGCGGGGAGGAAGGCGGUGAGGUUAAUAACCUCAUCGAUUGACGUUACCCGCAGAAGAAGCACCGGCUAACUCCGUGCCAGCAGCCGCGGUAAUACGGAGGGUGCAAGCGUUAAUCGGAAUUACUGGGCGUAAAGCGCACGCAGGCGGUCUGUCAAGUCGGAUGUGAAAUCCCCGGGCUCAACCUGGGAACUGCAUUCGAAACUGGCAGGCUAGAGUCUUGUAGAGGGGGGUAGAAUUCCAGGUGUAGCGGUGAAAUGCGUAGAGAUCUGGAGGAAUACCGGGGGCGAAGGCGGCCCCCUGGACAAAGACUGACGCUCAGGUGCGAAAGCGUGGGGAGCAAACAGG
rnacentral:rRNA from 1 species